AAUGGUCCCAAGUUGGCGUUAAGAUAGUGGCACACAUAUACUUACAUGUUGAGAUGAUCAAAAUCUAUACUAUUUAUUAAGAACGCAAGGGUAGCCUGCCUCCUUGCGUUCUGCCGUUAGACAAUCUCAACCGUCCGUUCUAUCCUUCUCUGAUCUAAACCGUCCGAUCCCACACAACAGUCCCACUCCUCGAUCCUGCCCACCAGCCCCGAAGCCGUCGCGGGUGCUGCUGCGGAGGCCCAGGACCGAAAUUGAACUGCAGUUGGUGAGGUGGCGGCGGACCGGGUGGCGGCGGGGGCGGGGGCCCAGCGUGGUAGGGCGGCACCGGCAUCCUGUUGUAGGGCGCCUGCGGCGGCGGCGUGUACGGAUUCAUCUGCGACGGGUAGCCGCCCUGCGGAGGCGGCGGUGCGUACGACCUGUAAGACGCCAUCGCGCGGCAGCUAGGGUUCCUCGGAACCCGAGCCCUAGCACACAGACACCGCGCCUGCGGACACUGCUCGCUCCCCUUCUCCUCCGUCGCCGCCACCGCAGAAGCCUCUACCACGCGCGACCAGCUCGCCGCCGCGCCCGCCGGGGCCGACGGCCUGCACGCGCUCGCCGAGCAGGUGGUGCAGCUCGUGCUCGCCGACGGCUCCGGCGCCAGCAGCCCGCGCGUCGCCUUCGCCGACGGCGUCUUCGUCGACUCCUCGCUGAAGCUCAAGCCGGCCUUCGAGGAGGUCCCCGUGGGAAAGUACAGGGCCGACACCCAGUCCGUCGACUUCCAGAAAAGUGGUCAUAUCAACCAGAACUUAUCAAGGAAGUGUGAAGCAUUAGUUGUGUCAGGUUUGGCAGAAUAUGGUGAUGAAAUAGAUGGGAUUGUCCCAGCUGAUAUCAUGAAGAUUCAGCCUAUCCUACAAUGGUCGUGAUAGAUGAGAUUCUUCUUGCAAACAAGGGAGAUUGACCUAAAAUUGCAAAACAGUUGGUGGAUGUCUACGCGCGCAGUUUAAGGUUUGGAUGCGUUUCAGCUUUCUAUAGUUGUUUAUGCUUAUUGUGUGAAUGAUUUGUUAGCCUUUAUCUUUCCUUUUUUCUUAUUAAUAUAAUGUUGCAAAACUCUCCAUGUUUGAGAAACAAAAAUCAUGUCUUCCAUUAUAUUUAAGUUUUAUUACCCAUCACAUGGGCAUCUCAUGAGUUUCCUUCAUGAGCAUUUUGUGGUUUGAUCAAUGGGGAUGUCUGUGUAACCAGAUGUUGAGGGCCUGAACCGCAUGUAAGGUGGUAUUGUGGCACUUCAAGUUUGUACAAAGAUGGGGUGAUCCUCUAGGGAGGGUAACACAUUGGUAAAAUAGUCACUUACGUGUGGUACUGUGGUGGGGUAGUGACAUAUUAUCUUGUGAUCUUUGAGCAUGUGGUCAUGCUUUGUUUCAGUGCUUGGAACAUUGCCAGCCAUCUUGUUGAUGUGUUUCACUGGUAAUUAUUGUUGUCCAGCCAUCACAUGUAAUUUGGGCAUGACAUGCUAUUCUGUGUUCAUGCAUUUGAAUUCACAAUUUUAAGAAUGGGCAUGUUACAAUGGACAUGGACUUUUGUGGGGAUCUAAAUAUCAUUCUUUCGGUAACAAAAUAAACAUUCUUAUGUUUGAAACACUAUAUUUCUAAAUCAUGCUACAGUGCACGCGCUUGGCUGACUGCCCAGUUAGCUAUUUGCAUACACCAAGCGGCAGUGUAUAUAUAUUUUGUCGGUUUAAGGACCAUCUGGAAUACAAUAGAUCGAUCGUCAGCCGCUUAAGAGGAGCAGCUCCCCUUAUGGUUUUGUGUUCUCACAAUUUAUGGUAGGAUGCCAUGCAAAACCCUUUUGGUUCAAUCACUCACUUCAUAGUUCAUAUUGUAUGGUGAUUUACUUCUACAACAACAUGAUAUCAUUAGCAACCCUUUUUCUGUGAGACUAUCCUUGUCCCCCAUACAAUACAUCUAGGAGUCUUGUGCAUCUGUUGGUGAAGAGAUGAUGGCAGUUUAGUUGUUGGCUCUAAACUCUGAAAAAAAUAUUUUUUUACCAAAUACAACAUCAGAUGUAAUCUCUACUAUUCUUAAGAAGAUACCGUAGGCGUCCACAGUGGUGUGGCGCACGGUUCUGCCCUGCCCCUGCCUCCGACAUCCUCCCCUUGCCCCGCUCUUGGUCGCGCAAUCCCAGGAACCCUCCAUCCGCCCCACCAUCAUCGCACUAUCCAUCGCCGCCCCGCCAUCAUCAGCCCGCGCCCGUGCGCAUGCCCUGCCCCCGACAUCCUCCCCUCGCGCCCUUCUAUCGGCGACCGCUCCCACUCGCUGUGCAUCGUGCCCUCGCCCCCGUCAACCACCCCGUGCGUCGAUGCCUGCCCCUGCCCCUGCCCCGCCCCCAUCCCUGCGAUGCCCGCGGCCACAGCGCCCCUCCCCUCGACGCGCUCUGCGCGCCAUGCCUGCUAACCAAGACCACAGCGCCUGGAGCAAUGGGGAGGAUGUCGGCCUUGCAUGGCACCAGAGAGGGCGGCCCCUGCGCGAACGCGGCCCCCGGCCUCAGCCCCGAUGGCGGCACGCUGCCCCACCGGCCCCCCGACGCGAGCGGGCGCGCCGCGGCCCCCACCCGACGGCGCGAGCGAGGCACGCGGCCCUCCCGGCGGGGUGGACGCGGUCCCUGGCUGUGAGGCGACGAUGGGGCUGGGGGCUGCGAUGGCACUGGGCGACCCACCGGCGGACUACGCAUCCAUCGCGGCGGUGGGGCUGUUUGUGGCACUCAUGUGUGUCGGCAUCAUCGUCGGGCACCUGCUCGAGGAGAACCGCUGGAUGAACGAGUCCAUCACCACGCUCUUCAUCGGGCUGGGAACUAGAGCAGUCAUCCUGUUCGCAUCGAGCGAGAAGCAUUCGCGUGUGCUGGUGUUCAGUGAGGACUCUUAUUUAUUUACCUGCUGUCGCCGAUCAUAUUCAAUGCAGGGAAUGGGAUUCCCAGGUUCCAAGUGAAGAAGAAACAGUUCUUUCGAAACUUCAUUACUAUUACACUGUUUGGUGCAGUUGGCACCUUGAUCUCUUUUACUGUAAUAUCCCUUGGCGCUCUAGGACUAAUAUCAAGGCUUAAUAUCGGCGCACUUGAACUGGGAGACUAUCUUGCACUUGGGGCAAUAUUCUCGGCCACAGACUCGGUUUGCACCUUGUAGGUGUUAAGCCAAGAUGAGACACCAUUCUUGUACAGCCUCGUGUUUGGUGAAGGUGUUGUCAAUGACACAACUUCUGUUGUGUUGUUCAAUGCAAUCCAGAACUUUGAUCCUGGAAAUAUCAGCGGUGCCAAAUUACUGAACUUCAUUAGCAGUUUCCUUUAUUUGUUCGGCUCCAGCACCAUUCUUGGAGUAGCUUCUGGACUUCUUAGUGCUUAUACCAUUAAGAAGUUGUACUUUGGCAGGCAUUCAAUCUAUCGUGAAGUUUCCAUUAUGAUGCUAAUGGCUUAUUUAUCUUACAUGCUAGCUGAAUUGCUCGAUUUGAGUGGAAUUCUCACUGUGUUUUUCUGCGGUGUCGUAAUGUCACACUAUACUUGGCACAAUGUAACAGAAAGUUCAAGGGUCACAACCAAGCAUGCCUUUGCAACAUUGUCGUUUAUCUCCGAGACUUUUCUGUUUCUUUAUGUUGGUAUGGAUGCAUUAGAUAUAGAGAAGUGGAAGAUUGUCGGUCAAACUUAUAGCCCGGUAAAGUCUAUCGCUUUGAGCAACACCAUUUUAGCCUUGGUGCUGGUUUCAAGAGCUGCUUUUGUUUUCCCACUAUCCUUUCUAUCAAAUUUGACCAAAAAAACUCCAAAUGGAAAGAUAUCUUUUAGGCAGCAGGUUAUUGUUUGGUGGGCGGGUCUCAUGAGAGGUGUUGUGUCUAUUGCGUUGGCUUACAAUAAGGUUAAUCUUGUGUUUGGUCUAUAUGGUUUGAGCUUUGGUUUGGAUGUGUUACUGCUUUUGCUUCCUCUAUCCAUUCCAAAACAUAGGACAUUUUUUGUUGUAGUAAGUCAAAAUUCUCUAACUUUGACAAAGUUUAUAGAAAAACAAACCAACAUCAACAACCUUCAUUUCUUAAUCUUAUAUAGAAGUUGCAGUAUUUUAGUCUAAUAGAUGGACAUGUUUUAAAUUUUGAGACAUUGAAACAAUUUGCAUCAUGAAGGCGUUUGACUUAAUGUUUCCAAGGUUCUGUGGAAGUGCGAGGCAUUUUGGGAGGUGGUGAGCGCCUCGCUUGGCACCUUCAUUUUCGUGAUGAUGCUAUCCUUCAGGCUGCAGUGCCACACAAGUUCGUUUGGUGUAGGUGCUGCUUGAUUUUUGGCGGUGCAUGCCGGGUGUUCGACAAUGUUUCUGAGGUUUUGUGGCAGUGCGAGGCAUUUUGGGAGGGACAUCAUCAUGCCCAACUUGAAGUCGUCCGUGACCACAACAGCGAGCGCGGUGGAGUACAUGGAUGAAGUAUUGAAGGCGUUGCCGCUAGGUGAGGCCAGGAAUGAGGAUUCACGAACACUGCAAUUCAAUUAUGGUUCAUUCAAACAUAAGGCAUUGGAUAAAUCCUUAACUAAAAAGGUUCCUAAAAAUCGUUUGACUUCAAAUACUAAACUAACACAAUGUUGCUCUAUUGUAGGGAUUUUUGAAGCACUAACUGCAUUCCCCUUCUCCCCUUCUCCCUUCCUGCUGUGCGAAGCCGUGCCCCAAACCCUCUACCAUCUUAUUUCAGUUCCCACUCUCUACCAUCUUCCAGGAAAAAACACUAGCAAUCUUACAUGAGUUCCAAGUUUUGCAGGUCGUUGCUGUUUGUGAAUGUGGUUUGGAUUAUGACAGACUUCAGUUCUGUCCGACAGAUAUGCAAAAAAAGUACUUUGAGAAACAAUUUGAGUUGGCUGAAGCAGUAAAGCUGCCCAUUUUCUUCACAUGUGUGCUGCUGGUGAAGACUUCUAUGAAAUCAUGACACAAAAUUUGCACAGAUUCCCUGGUGGGGUUACACAUUCCUUCACUGACUCAACAGAAGAUCAGGAUAGGCUACUUUCUUUUGAGAAGAUGUUUAUCGGUGUUAAUGGUUCCUCUCUGAAAACUAACGGAAAUCUUGAGGUUGUACGAGGCAUUCCUGUCGAGAGGUUGAUGAUGGAAACAGAUUCUCCAUAUUGUGACAUAAUAAAUACUCAUGCUGGAAGCCAGUAUGUAAAAUCUGUCUGGCCAUCCAAGAAGAAAGAAAAGUAUGAGCCAGAUUCAACAGUAAAAGGUCGCAAUGAACCUUGUUUAGUCAGGGAUUUUUGAAGCACUGACUGCAUUCCCCUUUCUCCCUUCCUGCUGUGCGAAGCCGUGCCCCAAACCCUCUACCAUCUUAUUUCAGUCCCCACUCUCUACCAUCCUCCAGGGAAAAAACACUAGCAAUCUUACAUGAAUUCCAAGUUUUGCAUGUCGUUGCUGUUGGUGAAUGUGGUUUGGAUUAUGACAGACUUCAGUUCUGUCCGGCAGAUAUGCAAAAGAAGUACUUUGAGAAACAAUUUGAGUUGGCUGAAGCAGUAAAACUGCCCAUGUUUCUUCACAUGUGUGCUGUUGGUGAAGACUUAUGUGAAAUCAUGACACGGAAUUUGCACAGAUUCCCUGGUGGGGUUACACAUUCCUUCACUGACUCCGCAGAAGAUCGGGAUAGGCUACUUUCUUUUGAGAAGAUGUUUAUCGGCAAGUUCUUGAGGUAGUGGCGGGAAGCAAAGAAAUUUCUGACAUAGAAGGCCUGAGUAGAACUCUGUACCACAACACAUGCAGGCUCUUCUUUCCUCAGGAUCUUGACGCGUCUACUAAUGCGCAGCUUGAGAGUGGUACUGCCGUCCAGGAUUGCUGAUGUCAGAGUGAUUUUUUUUAAAAAAUGUUUCCUUUUGGUUGGCGUUUGGUUUCGUACAACUUCCAAUAUGCCUAUGAAAUGUUUUUGGUCUUAUAAUUUUCCCUCGCUGCCAAUUUUGCCAUGUUUCAUGAGCCUGAUGACAUGUCAGGCAAGUCCUGACUAUGUACAAGUACCCUACUGAGACUAUGCCCUAAAAUCAUUUAGGGCUGAGCAUGUACAAGUACAGUUUGAUGGC